rnacentral:rRNA from 1 species
UACGUAGGGGUCGAGCGUUGUCCGGAGUUACUGGGCGUAAAGCGUGUGCAGGCGGCUCAUUGCGCCCGGCGUGAAAGCCCCCGGCUCAACCGGGGAGAGUCGUCGGGGACGGGUGAGCUUGAGGGUAUCAGGGGCUGGUGGAAUUCCCGGUGUAGUGGUGAAAUGCGUAGAUAUCGGGAGGAACACCAGUGGCGAAGGCGGCCAACUGGUCCGGCACUGACGCUGAGGUGCGAAAGCGUGGGGAGCAAACAGG